UACGUAGGGUGCAAGCGUUAUCCGGAAUUAUUGGGCGUAAAGAGCUCGUAGGCGGUCUGUCGCGUCUGCUGUGAAAACCCGAGGCUCAACCUCGGGCCUGCAGUGGGUACGGGCAGACUAGAGUGCGGUAGGGGAGAAUGGAAUUCCUGGUGUAGCGGUGGAAUGCGCAGAUAUCAGGAGGAACACCGAUGGCGAAGGCAGUUCUCUGGGCCGUAACUGACGCUGAGGAGCGAAAGCGUGGGGAGCAAACAGG
rnacentral:rRNA from 1 species